rnacentral:rRNA from 1 species
CCUACGUGUGGCAGCAGUGAGGAAUCUUGCUCAAUGGCCGUAAGGCUGAACCAGCCAAGUCGCGUGAAGGAAGAAGGAUCUCUGGUUUGUAAACUUCUUUUAUAGGGGAAUAAAGGUAUCCAAGUGUGGAUAUUUGCAUUUACCCUAUGAAUCAACAUAGGCUAACUCCGUGCCAGCAGCCGCGGUAAUACGGAGGAUGCGAGCGUUAUCCGGAUUUAUUGGGUUUAAAGGGUGCGUAGGUUGUUUUUUAAGUCAGCGGUGAAAGUUUGUGGCUCAACCAUACAAGUGCCGUUGAAACUGGAAGACUUGAGUGUGUUUGAGGUAGGCGGAAUGCGUGGUGUAGCGGUGAAAGGCAUAGAUAUCACGCAGAACUCCGAUUGCGAAGGCAGCUUAAUAAGCCAUAACUGACACUGAGGCACGAAAGCGUGGGGAUCAAACAGGAUUAGAUACCCCUGUAGUC